GGAGGGUGCAAGCGUUAAUCGGAAUUACUGGGCGUAAAGCGUGCGUAGGCGGUUUAUUAAGUCAGAUGUGAAAGCCCCGGGCUUAACCUGGGAACUGCAUUUGAAACUGGUCAACUAGAGUAUGGUAGAGGAAAGUGGAAUUUCUGGUGUAGCGGUGAAAUGCGUAGAUAUCAGAAGGAACAUCAAUGGCGAAGGCAGCUUUCUGGACCAAUACUGACGCUGAGGUACGAAAGCGUGGGUAGCAAACAGGAUUAGAUACCCUGGUAGUCCACGCCGUAAACGAUGAUAACUAGCCGUUGGGGGGAUUUACCCCUUAGUGGCGAAGCUAACGCGUUAAGUUAUCCGCCUGGGGAGUACGGCCGCAAGGCUAAAACUCAAAGGAAUUGACGGGGACCCGCACAAGCGGUGGAGCAUGUGGUUUAAUUCGAUGCAACGCGAAGAACCUUACCUGGUCUUGACAUCCUGCGAACUUUCUAGAAAUAGAUUGGUGCCUUCGGGAACGCAGUGACAGGUGCUGCAUGGCUGUCGUCAGCUCGUGUCGUGAGAUGUUGGGUUAAGUCCCGUAACGAGCGCAACCCCUAUCCUUAUUUGCCAGCACAUUAUGGUGGGAACUAUAAGGAGACUGCCGGUGAUAAACCGGAGGAAGGCGGGGACGACGUCAAGUCAUCAUGGCCCUUACGACCAGGGCUACACACGUGCUACAAUGGGAAGUACAAAGAGUCGCGAAGCCGCGAGGUGUAGCUAAUCUCACAAAUCUUCUCGUAGUCCGGAUUGGAGUCUGCAACUCGACUCCAUGAAGUCGGAAUCGCUAGUAAUCGUAGAUCAGAAUGCUACGGUGAAUACGUUCCCAGGUCUU
rnacentral:rRNA from 1 species